UCACCCCUCAAGCCCCCCUUCUUAAUUGAAACCGGCUUGGUGUUGGACGGUUUGGUGUCGGCAACGUCACCCCUCCCAAAGACAAUGACGGCGGCUUCGUGAGACCCCCGGUACACUGAGUUCCUCACCGAACACGUACUGGAUCAAGGGUAGACGGGGCCCCGGUCGACCUCCCUUCACGGGGAGAUUUAUUUUUCA
rnacentral:misc_RNA from 1 species